rnacentral:rRNA from 1 species
UACGGAGGAUGCGAGCGUUAUCCGGAUUCACUGGGUGUAAAGGGAGCGUAGACGGCCGUGCAAGCCAGGAGUGAAAGCCCGGGGCCCAACCCCGGGACUGCUCUUGGAACUGUGCGGCUGGAGUGCGGGAGGGGCAGGCGGAAUUCCUGGUGUAGCGGUGAAAUGCGUAGAUAUCAGGAGGAACACCGGCGGCGAAGGCGGCCUGCUGGACCGCGACUGACGUUGAGGCUCGAAAGCGUGGGGAGCGA